rnacentral:rRNA from 1 species
UACAGAGGGUGCUAGCGUUGUUCGGAAUCAUUGGGCGUAAAGAGCGCGCAGGCGGCUUGGUAAGUCGGAUGUGAAAUCCCGAGGCUCAACCUCGGGUCUGCAUCCGAUACUGCCCGGCUAGAGGUAGGUAGGGGAGAUCGGAAUUCCUGGUGUAGCGGUGAAAUGCGCAGAUAUCAGGAGGAACACCGGUGGCGAAGGCGGAUCUCUGGGCCAUAACUGACGCUGAGGAGCGAAAGCGUGGGGAGCGAACAGG